rnacentral:rRNA from 1 species
UACGUAGGGGGCUAGCGUUGUUCGGAAUUACUGGGCGUAAAGCGUGCGCAGGCGGCUUCUCAAGCCAGGGGUGAAAGCCCAGAGCUCAACUCUGGAAUUGCCUUUGAGACUGAGUGGCUUGAGUACGAGAGAGGUGAGUGGAAUUCCCAGUGUAGAGGUGAAAUUCGUAGAUAUUGGGAAGAACACCAGUGGCGAAGGCGGCUCACUGGCUCGUAUCUGACGCUCAGGCGCGACAGCGUGGGGAUCAAACAGG